UUUGGUGAGAGGUGUUCAGAAAGGACCGAGGUCAGUAGAAGAUGGAGAAGAAAGCCUUGUGUCUCAUUGCCACAAUUUCCACGAAAUGGUCGGAAAUCUGGGACUGAAAUUGGCAUCGAUCUGUUAUGGAAUGCAUUUGCCAGAAAACGGGUUGUGAGAGGUUUGUUCCAGCUGUGAACGCAUCUUCCGUCUUAAGCAAUUGACUCAACCGUGCACGAGAAGAUUGAAUACGUUCUCCAUCAAUGACGUUAGACUCGUGUUUCACAGCGGCUGCAUCCAUGUCAAGAUUACAUGUCGCUUGUCAGAGUUUGUCUGCUAGUAAAUUUGCAGGGUUGAAACUUAAUAUAAACUGUAAUUUUUACUUUGGGUUGUGAAUCGGCUGUAGUUAUUUUCAAACUAUCACAAAGUAGUGUUCAGGAAGAGUACUUUGCUACACGUACAUGUAGUAGUGGUUUAUUUCCGUGUAGGUGUGGCAACAUAAACAACAAUGUACAUGUAGGACGACCGGUUUUCUUUUUGAUGGUAACAUAUUUGUAAGGACAAAUCUGCAAUUUGGCAGUUCUCCGCGAACAAUUAUUUAUUUAAAAUUGAAUUCUAGUAUUUAUUUUGGUGAUGUUUAGUUUUGGAAAGAAAGAAAACAUCUCAACCGUGUAAAAUGCAUUUUUGGAAGUCUUUGGAAGUUAUUGUUAUAUUGUUAUAUUGUCAAGUUGUCAAGUUAUAUUGUCAAGUACGCGCCAUAUUUGAUCCACGGACUAGAUAGACCAUGGUUCAACUGGUUGUGAACUCGGUCUAAUGCUUUAGAAAACGUCUGGAAGUUGCAGUGUGCGUUCAGUUGUUCUUCGGAAGAAAAAAAAGAGCGAGAUGUGCAUCCACCAAAAAUCAAUAAAUCGCUGUAAUUUGAAUAAUUAUGCUUCAGAAAUUGCAGCAUUAUCAAAUUGGCAGAAUGUGUCAUUAGUACUGCAGAACUGUCCACACGUAUUGAAACGAACUUUCUUAAGUUUGAAUGUGCGAUUGUGACGCAUAUAAUAUAAACUUCGUGUUUCAAUGAGGGGAGGGGUCAAAAGUCACCCUGGUUUUAGAAACGAAACCAAGGAGUUGAAAAUUUCCCGAAAUUAAUGUGCAUUUGUUAUUGCACGAGUGGUAGGUUACAAAGGAAAAUCGUUGUGUUACAGAAAAUAUUUUAUUUCGGAAUAUUUUCUACAUUAAGGGGUCUAUAUAGGACUGACAUUAAUCAGAAACUUUCACAUUCUGAAUUUUCGACAAAUUCUUGACAAAGUCAAAUCAACCAUUUUAGCUGUCACAAAGCCGAUUUUUUAGAAUAAUGAAUACUUGAUGAGUUUUUAAGACUGUCAAUUUCUGCCAAUACUCCCAAAAUAGAAUGUGAUGCAAUUUAAAGCGAAAUUUAUAGCAAGGGAUGAAAAACUAAAGAAACAUUUUCGUAAAUUUACUUAGAUUUUGGCUAGCAGUUAUUUAGCCAAAUGUUUGAAAAUUCUUUUUAAAAUAUCCAAAAGUGUUUUUAGACCAGCGCUCUGUUAAAGGUUGGCAUUGUACUUAGUAUUUUUGUAGUUUAUUCUUUGGUAGAGAUCAAAGGGUGAUUAAAGAAUAACUUCUUAUAUGUUAGUCCUGCAUGUCCUGUUGAAUUAUAAUGCCGCUAGAUCACUUAGUACCGGAGACCAGUCUUAAGUUUAUUAGCAUUGUCUUAGUAAGUGUGGAUUUCAAGUAAACUGAUAUUUACGUAUUCUUUUCCGUUUUCUUUGAAAUGGCUAUGGUUGAAAUAAGCUUGUUAGUUGGUCAUGUCAUGUGACGUUUCUGAUUCGCAUGCUGUAUAAAUUUCAGUUUUCGCUCAAAGUUGUGCCAUGAAGUACAUAUUUUUGGAGUUAAGAAAAUACGUUGAUUUUGGACAUGACAAUUUUUAUCGAUGAACUAAACAACCAGGAAUCUUACAUAAUUUGAUUAUAUUUGAACACCAAUUUUUGUUUUGUGUGCGAGUAUCAGCAAGACGACAUAGUGCUUGCAUGUGGGUACAUGUGUCGGGAUAGGAUGAGGUUAUAUGCAUAUUGAAUUUUCUAUACCGUUCACACCAGUGAAUUUAGACAGACAUUAUUGUUUUUUUGUAAUCUUUUGGGUAAUUUUCCAGUUUGCCUGUAAAUUUUGACAAAAACUUAUAAAUUCUACCUUCUUGUUGGUAUUAUGUCUAUCAUAGUAUUCCUGAACUCCUUUAUAAAUUAAGGCUACGUCGGUCAAGUAAA
rnacentral:lncRNA from 1 species